rnacentral:misc_RNA from 1 species
GAUGAAGAACGCAGCAAAAUGCGAUAAGUAGUGUGAAUUGCAGAAUUCAGUGAAUCAUCGAAUCUUUGAACGCACAUUGCGCCUUCUAGUAUUCUGGGAGGCAUGCCUGUUUGAGCGUCAUUAAACCUCUCUCAAGUAUGAUUACUUGGAUGUGAAGGAAGAGUACCUUAAACUUAAGGAGUGUUCUCCUUUGAAAUUGAUUAGCAGAUGGUAAUGUUAUUAAAUCCCUGAUGUUGUAAGAAAUAACAGUGGUUUUGUAGACUAUUAUCUAGCUUUAAAUUAUAAUUUUUAUUAUGGUUGACCUCAAAUCAGGUAAGGAUACCCGCUGAACUUAAGCAUAUCAAUAAGCGGAGGA